rnacentral:rRNA from 1 species
UGCAGUCGAGGGGUACAUAGGGGAGCUUGCUUCUUUGAUGACGACCGGCGCACGGGUGCGCAACGCGUAUACAAUCUGCCCCCUACUGUGGGAUAGCCCAGAGAAAUUUGGAUUAAUACCACAUGGUACCAUAUUACGGCAUCGUAUUUAUGGUUAAAGGUUACGGUAGGGGAUGAGUAUGCGUCCCAUUAGUUAGUUGGCGAGGUAACGGCUCACCAAGACCCGCGAUGGGUAGGGGCCCUGAGAGGGGGAUCCCCCACACUGGUACUGAGACACGGACCAGACUCCUACGGGAGGCAGCAGUGAGGAAUAUUGGACAAUGGGCGGGAGCCUGAUCCAGCCAUGCCGCGUGCAGGAAGAAUGCCCUAUGGGUAGUAAACUGCUUUUAUACGGGAAGAAAAAGGGGCACGUGUGCCCCACUGACGGUACCGUAAGAAUAAGGACCGGCUAACUCCGUGCCAGCAGCCGCGGUAAUACGGAGGGUCCGAGCGUUAUCCGGAAUUAUUGGGUUUAAAGGGUCCGUACGCGGGCUGAUAAGUCAGUGGUGAAAGUUUGCAGCUCAACUGUAAAAUUGCCUUUGAUACUGUUAGUCUUGAGUUAUAGUGAAGUUGCCGGAAUAUGUAGUGUAGCGGUGAAAUGCAUAGAUAUUACAUAGAACACCGAUUGCGAAGGCAGGUGACUAACUAUAUACUGACGCUGAUGGACGAAAGCGUGGGGAGCGAACAGGAUUAGAUACCCUGGUAGUCCACGCCGUAAACGAUGGAUACUAGCUGUCCGGGACCUUGAGUCCUGGGCGGCCAAGCGAAAGUGAUAAGUAUCCCACCUGGGGAGUACGUUCGCAAGAAUGAAACUCAAAGGAAUUGACGGGGGCCCGCACAAGCGGUGGAGCAUGUGGUUUAAUUCGAUGAUACGCGAGGAACCUUACCAGGGCUUAAAUGCAUAUUGACAGGGGUAGAGAUACCUUUUCCUUCGGGCAAUUUGCAAGGUGCUGCAUGGUUGUCGUCAGCUCGUGCCGUGAGGUGUCAGGUUAAGUCCUAUAACGAGCGCAACCCCUACCGUUAGUUGCCAGCGAGUCAUGUCGGGGACUCUAACGGGACUGCCGGUGCAAACCGUGAGGAAGGUGGGGACGACGUCAAAUCAUCACGGCCCUUACGUCCUGGGCCACACACGUGCUACAAUGGCCGGUACAGCGGGAAGCCAUGCGGUAACGCAGAGCGGAUCCACAAAACCGGUCACAGUUCGGAUCGGGGUCUGCAACUCGACCCCGUGAAGCUGGAAUCGCUAGUAAUCGGAUAUCAGCCAUGAUCCGGUGAAUACGUUCCCGGGCCUUGUACACACCGCCCGUCAAGCCAUGGAAGCCGGGAGUGCCUGAAGUCCGUCACCG